AAAAAAUCCCCCUCCCUAGUGACCAGACCCCUGCACUGCGGUGAAAAGAGUGCGCAUGUGCUAGCAGGCCCUUUCUCCAAGGCUGCGAGCUGCUCUGAGCCGCUGUUUUUCAGGUGAUUGACACUGGAUAAGGCCCACAACGGGUGGUGAGAACUUGUAAAAUGGUGGCUGUGAGAGACAGAUUCCCUACAGAAAUGUAAUUGAAAUGUUCCCAGUUACUGAAAAGAACCCAGGAACCAAGACCUUUGAUGAUAGCAUGAAGCACAACUUUACAUCAGUCCACCAGAAGCACAUUCAUCUGUGUCCACACAGGACUAGAAACCUCCAAAGUAAAUUCAUUUGUUUAGAAAAUGCAG
rnacentral:lncRNA from 1 species